UUAUUUUUAAGUGGUUUAAAAUCUAUGAUGCAAUUUUCUGCGGGACUAUUUUAUUUUGAUCAACCGCUGCGCGUAAAGACGUGGGGCAGGGCAGUGAAGAGGCAGCUGUCCUUGUCAUAUGACCGAGGCCCAGCAGUUAGCAGCAAGAGAGGAAACUCAAAAACAUGCGAUAUUAUUGGCUGUGUAGGUCAACGCUGCUCUAAAUCUGGGCCCAAAGACAUUCAGCAGGUCCUCGGCAAAAUGGGAUAUAUUAGUUCCACGUAACAGAGGAGCACUGAGGCCUAGGUACCUACUAUGUCCUCCUAAGACCUGCCACAUGACUUCUCCCACAAAAGCUCAUCGUCAGUGACAAAUCCAAAGUACUUUACCAGUCUUGAUUAAUGUUGUGGCACUUGUUUUCAUACUACUCUAAAUUAUUGCUUCACCUGUCACUCUGGAUAAAAGCAUUUGUUAAAAAAAAAAAAAAAAAAAAAAGGCUGUAGGACUCACACCAGGCAAUGUGCUUGAUUAGAAGAGAUUACAAUCCUCACGCUGUUAGCUUUCCCAGUAAUGUGCACGGGGAAGGUGUAGGGAGAGGUGAAAGAGAGACAGCAGUCCCCUUUCCCAGGAACUGUUGACAAACGCAACUGAGGAGGUGAAAUUUAACUUGAUAGCUGCUUAGAACUCCUACAAGAGUAAAGUUACUCUAAACAAUGACAGAUAUACAUUUGCUGUUUCAAGCUUUUGGUUUUACUUCAAAACCAUCAUGAGGAAGAGGAGGUAGAGGUGUUGGGAAACAGCAGCUAAUACAGUAUAUGCCGGUAUACUUUGGGCCCGCCAUAGUACAGCUGCCUACCCCUGCACUAGAAUGAGUAAAAUUAAGGAACACAGUCUAAUAUUUAAAUUUUGAAGAAAAAAAACCAAUAGCUGAUAUCUACAUUUAGAAACUUACCUGUAUGCUAUGACUGAGAGGGCUGAAAAAUCACAUUGUUGUGGCGAGUCCACAACAAAAUUCAGUUUAAAAAAUGUAAUAAACACUUUAUCCUUAAAAAGUGACAUUUGCCUACAUUUACUACAACAGGUGUAUAGACUCAGUUGCCAGUUUAAUAGGUACACCUAGCUAUAAGUAAUACACUCUAAUACAAAACAGUCCUGCAAUAAAUCCACCCUUCAUGAAGGUUUUAAUGCUCAGUUAUUGUUGAAACUGCUUUAGAGGUGUUGAUUCAACAGUUUGUGGUGCUGCUGAGCUGUAUUGCUUUAUACAGAGGUGUUUCUGUUAUUUAGCAUGAUAUAAACGGGGUGGACAAAAUAUCAUAAACUCCGUAUAACUCAAUACAAUUCAACAGCACCACAGGCUUCAGCCUCUAAAAUGACCACACAGUUUAAUCAACAUCUCUUUCAAUAUAACCUUCAACCACGAUAGUAGGAUUUUAUUGCAGGACUGUUGUAUUAGAUUAGUUUUAGCUAGGUGUACCUAAUAAACUGGCAGCUGAGUGUGUAUCAACAUAUAUACACAAAAAUUACAUAAGACACAAUAGAGCUCUUAAACCAGCACAAAUGUCGCCAGUUGCCUUCAUUUGUAGUCCAAGAGUGCGUUCAUGUAGAUAGAGUCAGUAAGAGAGACAAUUUCUAAUUUGAUGCCAAAGAGCAUUUUUGGAAAAGCCUGAACCCAAAAUUACAUUUUGUAUGUCUCUGGAGCAGGAACAUUAAGUGGACCAAUGCAGUUUCCUGUCACACCACAUGAUGGCAGCAGAUUAUUAGUAAAAAAAUGUUUUGCCUCAAGCAGAAACUGUGUGAAUAGAUUUGAGCUCUUUCCCACCCCAGCAAAGUUGGUUAGUUGACAAGCUGCUAAAUGUUAUGCCUCAAGUAUGACAAAGAUUACAGUAUGAAUCGCAUUAAAAGAAAAACAAGCUGCAUAGUAACUGGUCGAUACUGACAACUGUUUUAUUAGUAACACAGACCUGGAGACAGUCAAUAAGAAGCCGCUGUGAGCCUUGACAAGGAUGACAUUGUUCAGAAGGCAUUUAAAGACGGAGGGUCUAAUAGUUGAACCCAUACAGUAAGCGGAGCGGGUAAAAACUGAAAGGGGGAGGUUGCAAAUUUGAAUCAAAUACAAAACCAACUGCAACAAAAACAGAAGGGGAAAAAUUAAGUGCAAUUCCUAUUAGAUGAAAUCAGGAUGGCAUCAAAUGGCAAAAGGGGGAGAGCGAAAUGUCAUGGUAUGCAGAAGUCAUGUCAUCAUAUAUUAUAACAGAUAAACAAUCAUAUGGAAAGGCGGCACGGCAGUCCACAUAUCGUUACAAGCCAUUCUUUUUUUCUCACAACUUUACAGUCGUCUUUAUCACUGAGUCCCAUGAGGAGCUUUGGGGAAAGAGUGAUGGUUAUGGCUGAAAAAAAAAAAUCAGGCUGCUUGGCUAUUUGUCCAGAAAAA